rnacentral:rRNA from 1 species
GCUCAACCGAAGAAGUGCAUCGGAAACUGGGAAACUUGAGUGCAGAAGAGGACAGUGGAACUCCAUGUGUAGCGGUGAAAUGCGUAGAUAUAUGGAAGAACACCAGUGGCGAAGGCAGCUGUCUGGUCUGUAACUGACGCUGAGGCUCGAAAGUAUGGGUAGCAAACAGGAUUAGAUACCCUGGUAGUCCAUACCGUAAACGAUGAAUGCUAAGUGUUGGAGGGUUUCCGCCCUUCAGUGCUGCAGCUAACGCAUUAAGCAUUCCGCCUGGGGAGUACGGCCGCAAGGCUGAAACUCAAAGGAAUUGACGGGGGCCCGCACAAGCGGUGGAGCAUGUGGUUUAAUUCGAAGCUACGCGAAGAACCUUACCAGGUCUUGACAUACUAUGCAAAUCUAAGAGAUUAGACGUUCCCUUCGGGGACAUGGAUACAGGUGGUGCAUGGUUGUCGUCAGCUCGUGUCGUGAGAUGUUGGGUUAAGUCCCGCAACGAGCGCAACCCUUAUUAUCAGUUGCCAGCAUUAAGUUGGGCACUCUGGUGAGACUGCCGGUGACAAACCGGAGGAAGGUGGGGAUGACGUCAAAUCAUCAUGCCCCUUAUGACCUGGGCUACACACGUGCUACAAUGGAUGGUACAACG